GGGCCCGCACAAGCGGUGGAGCAUGUGGUUUAAUUCGAUGAUACGCGAGGAACCUUACCAGGGCUUAAAUGUAGUCUGACAGGGGUGGAAACACCCCCUCCUUCGGGCAGAUUACAAGGUGCUGCAUGGUUGUCGUCAGCUCGUGCCGUGAGGUGUCAGGUUAAGUCCUAUAACGAGCGCAACCCCCUGCCGUUAGUUGCCAGCAUGUAAUGAUGGGAACUCUAACGGGACUGCCGGUGCAAACCGCGAGGAAGGUGGGAUGACGUCAAAUCAUCACGGCCCUUACGUCCUGGGCUACACACGUGCUACAAUGGCCGGUACAGAGGCAGCGAGCGGCGACGGUCAGCGAAUCCCCAAAAACCCUUAU
rnacentral:rRNA from 1 species